rnacentral:rRNA from 1 species
UGCGGUAGGGGAGACUGGAAUUCCCGGUGUAACGGUGGAAUGUGUAGAUAUCGGGAAGAACACCAAUGGCGAAGGCAGGUCUCUGGGCCGUCACUGACGCUGAGGAGCGAAAGCGUGGGGAGCGAACAGGAUUAGAUACCCUGGUAGUCCACGCCGUAAACGGUGGAUGCUGGAUGUGGGGACCAUUCCACGGUCUCCGUGUCGGAGCCAACGCGUUAAGCAUCCCGCCUGGGGAGUACGGCCGCAAGGCUAAAACUCAAAGAAAUUGACGGGGGCCCGCACAAGCGGCGGAGCAUGCGGAUUAAUUCGAUGCAACGCGAAGAACCUUACCAAGGCUUGACAUACACUGCGAUGCUUCCAGAGAUGGGCCAGCCUUCGGGGUGGUGUACAGGUGGUGCAUGGUUGUCGUCAGCUCGUGUCGUGAGAUGUUGGGUUAAGUCCCGCAACGAGCGCAACCCUCGCCCUGUGUUGCCAGCACGUCGUGGUGGGAACUCACGGGGGACCGCCGGGGUCAACUCGGAGGAAGGUGGGGAUGACGUCAGAUCAUCAUGCCCCUUACGUCCAGGGCUUCACGCAUGCUACAAUGGCCGGUACAACGGGAUGCGACACCGCGAGGUGGAGCGGAUCCCUUAAAACCGGUCUCAGUUCGGAUUGGAGUCUGCAACCCGACUCCAUGAAGGCGGAGUCGCUAGUAAUCGCGGAUCAGCAACGCCGCGGUGAAUGCGUUCCCGGGCCUUGUACACACCGCCCGUCAAGUCAUGAAAGUGGGUAGCACCCGAAGCCGGUGGCCCAACCUUUUGGGGGGAGCCGUCUAAGGUGAGACUCGUGAUUGGGACUAAGUCGUAACAAGGUAGCCGUACCGGAAGGUGCGGCUG